GAUGAACGCUAGCGGCAGGCCUAAUACAUGCAAGUCGAACGGUGUCUUCGGACAUAGUGGCGCACGGGUGCGUAACACGUAUGCAACCUACCUUACAUUGGGGGAUAGCCUUUCGAAAGGGAGAUCAAUACCGCAUAAGACAGUAGCUGGGCAUCCAGCAGCUGUUAAAGAUUUAUCGAUGUAAGAUGGGCAUGCGUCCAAUUAGUUAGUUGGCGAGGUAACGGCUCACCAAGACUUUGAUUGGUAGGGGAACUGAGAGGUCAAUCCCCCACCCUGGCACUGAGAUACGGGCCAGACUCCUACGGGAGGCAGCAGUAGGGAAUAUUGGGCAAUGGACGCAAGUCUGACCCAGCCAUGCCGCGUGCAGGAUGAAGGCGUUAUGCGUUGUAAACUGCUUUUAUACAGGAAGAAACGACUCUUGCGGGAGGCAUUGACGGUACUGUAUGAAUAAGCACCGGCUAACUCCGUGCCAGCAGCCGCCGUAACAC
rnacentral:rRNA from 1 species